AAAGACUUAGGAUACUAGACCAAGGGCCUUCAAAGCCCUAAGCAGAAGUUAAAACCUUCUAGUCUUUGCCA
rnacentral:tRNA from 1 species